GGGGCUGUGGCUCAGUGGUAGAGCAUCUGCUUGACAUGCAUAAAAGCCCUUGGUUCAAUCCCCGGCAUCUCCA
rnacentral:tRNA from 1 species